UUUCAACCGUUUGAUCCUGUAUUUACGGCUGUUGUUUCACCCUCCCAUCCAUGUACCGUGGCUCUCUAGAUUUCUCCCAAACCCAUCCAUCGGGAAAAAAAACACGGCCUUUCCCCUCCUCUCUCCUCCUCACGUUCUUUCCCUCUCUCUCGGCACAGCCAUGGCGGCGGCGGCCCUCCUCCGCCUCCCUCCCCUUCCUCCUGCGGCAGUGGCAGGGCGUCAGGCGAUGGUGCGGUGCAGCAGCGGCCUCCUCCCUCCUCCGCCUGGGUGGUCAAUGGCACCCCUGGGGCAAAGCAACGCUUCCCCCGACGAGCGGUGUAGCAGCGGCCUCCUCCCCUCCGCCUGGCCGUAGCCAUGGGCCGGCGACCACUAUUCCCUGCUGCUGGCUCAGUUAUCUCCUACAGAGCCCACAAGGUCAAUGGCACGAGGAGGAGGAACAGGCAGCCGUGGCUACCACACGGACCAUCGAGCAAGACGAUCGAUGCCCCCUCUUGAAGGAACAGAUGAAAUGUGAUUUGCAGGCCUUUGUAUUGCAUCGGCCCUAUAUAGAUGGAUAACAAGGCUUAAGGCAUGAGAAACAUUGGUCCGAUGAACACUCUAUAGGUACACUCUAGACUCCAUAAUAUAAACUGGGAGUUAGCGGAGUCAUAAGAAAUCAAGGUCCCUCUGAUAGGUUGGGUUAAACUUGACUGAAAAGGUUGUUCUUUGUUAGGCCAGCAAUAUGUUCACUGUUCUUUUAGCUACUGUUCCAUUUCUACAUUCUAAGUGCACAUAUAGAUAUGCUUUUGCUACCACCAGCUUCUGUUGUUCAAACUAUCUUGAACUAAGAGUUACCUUUCUUUGCUUCUGGACACAUUAGGUAACUGCUAAUUUCAACUAUUUGCUUUUGUUUUGGUUCUGCAAGCUAUGAGAUAAUAUGAGAAACUUUCUCCUAGAUGUGAUUCAUCUGAAUUGAAAAGAUAUAUUCAAUACUAAUUCAUCCUUGGCACAAUGGUCCAAUGGUCUAACUAAAAUUUCGUACAGGAAGUUUUGCAUGCUUAUUUUUAUUUCUUCAUGUCUGCGACCAGAAUGCUCAUGAUGAUAGACUCAUAAGGAACUCUGCAAUACUCAAAUGGCUACAGAUCUCAGAUUGUGCAGCUGGCUGCACACAUCAAGCAAUGGAAGGUAAAUAAAAAAUCAACCAUUCAUCUUUGACAAGACAUAAAACCAUUGGCUCAAAAUUUGCAUGUCAUAUAUUUCCUAAUUAACAAUUUCAAAUAUUGCCAUAGGUAUCUAAAAUCACAUAUUUGUGUUGUGUGAUUCGUCAGCUGUUAUAUGUUUGGUUCUACCUACCUGGUAUAGCUCCUAGAUUGUAGGGAUUAAUAUUACUCUUCACUAAUGCUCCAACCCAAAGGUUAAAGAAUAUCCAUAGUGGAGAUUGCAACACAUUGUACUACACAACUUUUGUAUUGAUGCAAUUUAGAAAUACUAACCCUGCCAUAGGUUAGUGUGCCAGAUUAUCUAUGCAUGAUAUGUAUGAAAUCCUCAAUGUAUUGCUAUACUUUAUCAGGUUAUUUUCCUUAUACGUGUUUUCCUAUUACUUGAUGCUAACUACUCGGUUACAUGCUAUCUUGCAAUUUUUUCCUACAAAUGCUUUGUUGAUACUUACAUAAUAAUCCUGACAUCGGUUAGAUGCUAUCUUGCAAUUUGAGCUCCUUCAACUCAUAUGGAUCCAUUAUGGAUGUUACUUUCUUUUUGUUGGAGAUGGCUGCACUGCAGAUCUCAAACUGGUUAUCAAGUGAUGAUCGGUAAACAAGAGGCAAUCAUUCUGACUUCAUCUUUGGUAAAAAAAAGAUAAAUAGAAGAAAAAGCAUUGUCUACAGAUUCAUAUGUCAUAACAACAGAUUCUUGCUGUCUAACAAUCAUAGCGAUUUGUUGCUUAUGGUGGGUUUUUUUGGGAAUGUACCUGCAUAUUCUUAUUGCAUUGUUUUUACCUCGAUUAAAUCGACAUGUGGUUGCCUGCUUUGUUUUCUCUACAAGAUCUGUACAGGAUUCGAUGCCUUGGUUUUUUAGACGGUUCCAUGCAUAUAGUCUUCGUAUAAGUCACCAAGGCUAAUUGAUCGGUGUUCUUUUUUAUUUUCCUAGAAGAUCAAUUGUUGACUUUUUUGGGACCAAAGUCUAAUUCUGACCAGAUUCAGACAUCUCUAGGAAACUGACAAAGAGAAGCAUUUACAUUAGCCUAUGUGAUGCCGAAUAUCAUCGCCAUGCCUUUGUUCCUAUGUAUUAGGUGAAUAGUAAGAAGCACAAGGUACUUGGUUUACAGGUAUCCACACAACAUUCUCAGCCAGGAGCACAACAGGAUGAUCUUCGGACACUUGCUACAUACACAUGAGGUGGCUCUAUUAUCAGACGCCUCCACCAGAGUUGAACACCUAGGAAACACCUCCAAGCGAAACAUCAAAUCUAUCCACUGGAGCCGAUGAACGUCCUACUUUAAGUCACCAUAGUAUUCGGAAGCGCUUAUACGGCAACAUAACAUCUGAGAGCCAGGAUGAGAAGGAUGUAGAAGACGACGGGCACAACAAGACCCAGAAUAGCGGGGGAACAUGAAAUCUGUUGCCCCAGAUGCAGCUACAAAAGUGAAUGCAUAUUAGCAGGGAUCUGUCGUAUCGUAUUUUUGAAUCAAGUUGGUUGCCUGAACUCAUCGUAUUUGUUUUCUGAAAUGCAUUGACAACCUGUCAUCGCUAAAAGUGGAAGCACUGCUCAAACCACCUUGAAAAAAAGCAAGGAACCUGAAGAUGGUCAAACCACCCUGGAAAAAAAAAGCUCAAGGGAACCAGAAGAUAGAUUCCAGGUUCAUUCUCUUCGGAACACUUUGAUUUAGCCUUUAUUCUUCCUGCGUCCACGCAAGAGACACUCAGACCAAAUUGUAUAUAUCGAGGUCUAUUUUAGAUGCAUAGUACAACACCAUAUCUUUAGUACUACCUCAAAGUUUUGUGAACUUUGGAGCACUAUACACAGCACCUUCGCUCUGUGUUGCCUAUCUGUUGUUAUACAGCCUGUACAUAUGCACCAGUUGUGCAUCUUAAACUCUAUGUAAAUACCAUGCCACCUAUGUAUGGUUUAAGAAGCUCCACAUCAGUGUACUUGCUUUCAAUACGAUUCACUCCA